UGUCCAAGUUUAGCAAGAACUGUGUUAAGUCAAUUUAGUCAUUCUUCUUGUCAGCUCACCCUGGAUAUCUGAUCGGGGUCCUCGUCCUCCACCAUCCCCCAGAAGAUGUCUGCUCACCCUGGCCUCCCUCCAGCAAGAAUCCUGGCAGGGUCUCGCUCUGUCACCAGCUAGAGUACAGUGGCACAAUUUCAGCUCACUGCAGCCUCAACCUCCAGGACUCAAGUGAUCCUCCCACCUCAUCCUCCUGAGUAGCUGGGACUACAGAUGUACACCACCAGGCCCAGUAUCCUGCGAUAUUCAGAGAGUGAGUCAGCAUGGCCUCCAGCCCUGCAGCUCAUCUCAUGCGUGUUGGACUCAAGGACUCCAGCCUGCAGUGGCCAUCAGAAAAUGCAGUAACCUCUCAUAUCGUCCAUUGUGACAUGUCGAAAUCCCGUCUACACUUGAGGUCCGUUUCACUGGACACUUCCUCCGUGGAGCUUCCUCUGAUCACCCUAACCCAACACAGUAAAUUCGGAUUUUCCAGGAAAAAGAGAAUGGCCACCAAUAGCGGUAGUGACUUAUUUAAUGUGACGUCUUCCGGCUCACUGAUGUAUCUGCCCCUGGCUGGAAGACUUCCCAAAACUCCAACAUGAGGUAGGACAUAAUGUGUGGACUGCAGUUGAAGAAAUGAUUUGCCUACUGGGUGUUUAUUUAGCAACAACUCAGCUUUUUAUGGAAUUCCAGCUCUCCAAUGUUUGUUCUCUGAUGUAUUGUUGCCUCCUUUAUAACAGUCAUUAGAUUCUGAAAAUGUCUGAUGCGGCAAAACCUAAUGGACACUUGCUGGUUAUAACGGGAUGGAGUGAGGUGGCAAAAAAGGAUAAUUCCCGAAAGCGUUCGUAAAAGCUCCUGUUAUCUUUUCACGUCUUUUAUGUGGACGAUUUAUCUUGGGUAAUGGGCUAUGCCUUUUUGAUCUAUGGCCUAGAAACACAAGAAUUUUAAUAGCAUAAUGUCAUACCAGGUAUGCCAAUACAAUAGUUUACCCAAUUUCUAGUAUUACUUUGCUUCAUAAAUCAGGGGGAAAAAACACAUUUCAGGCAAUCAUUA
rnacentral:lncRNA from 1 species